rnacentral:rRNA from 1 species
GAGACAGCAGUCGCCACGGGAAUACAGAGGGUGCGAGCGUUAAUCGGAUUUACUGGGCGUAAAGCGUGCGUAGGCGGCUUUUUAAGUCGGAUGUGAAAUCCCUGAGCUUAACUUAGGAAUUGCAUUCGAUACUGGGAAGCUAGAGUAUGGGAGAGGAUGGUAGAAUUCCAGGUGUAGCGGUGAAAUGCGUAGAGAUCUGGAGGAAUACCGAUGGCGAAGGCAGCCAUCUGGCCUAAUACUGACGCUGAGGUACGAAAGCAUGGGGAGCAAACAGGAUUAGAUACCCGCGUAGUCCCUGUCUCUUAUAC